UCGGUAGGUAUAAGGAGGUCCUGCCUGCCCAGUCACAACUGGGUUCAACGGCCGCGGUAUUUUAACCGUGCUAAGGUAGCGAAAUCAUUUGUCUUUUCAAUCAAGACCUGUAUCAAUGGCAAGACGAGGGCUCAACUGUCUCCUUUUCCAAGUCAAUCAAAUUCAUCUCUCCGUGCAGAAGCGGGGAUAUCCACAUCAGACGAGAAGACCCUAUGGAGCUUUAGACGCAAGGCAGACUACGUCACUUAUCCCCUCCUCAAGAGAUCAAAACCAAGAGACCCCUGUUCUUACGUCUUCGGUUGGGGCGACCAUGGGGAAGCAAAAACCCCCCAAGUGGACUGGGAGCAUUUUACUACUAUCUUCUUCUCCUUCCUCCCAAAAUCAAGAGCCACAGCUCUAAUUAGCAGAAUUUCUGCCCAAGAAAGAUCCGGCAAUGCCGAUCAACGGACCAAGUUACCCUGGGGAUCACAGCGCAAUCCUCUUUUAGAGCCCAUAUCGACAAGAGGGUUUACGACCUCGAUGUUGGAUCAGGACAUCCUAAUGGUGCAGCCGCUAUUAAGGGUUCGUUUGUUCAACGAUUGGAGUCCUACGUCAUCAGUUUGGAACGAAACCCA
rnacentral:rRNA from 1 species